UAUGUACCUACAAACCUACUACAAGUAAAAUUGAAACAAAGUGGAGAGUUAAACACUACUAAAAUGCAGCAAGCCUUGACUGGAGAAUAAACUUUGAAAGCAAAUAAAAUUUCAAAUAUAUAAUAGUGGUUUUAAAAAGUGGUUCUAACAAGUCAUUUAUGAUUAAUAAUGAAGGAAUACAUUUGGCUUUCUGCGCGGCUAACUGGUUUAACACACGAAUCAUGCAAUUGAUUAACUAAGAAAUUCCACAUUUUAUGUGGAAGUGACGGAAGUAAGCGCUUAAAAGAUUUGCAAGAACGAUCGUACUCAAGUGCUUGUAUGAGAAACUUUUUCAUUUGCGAAUAUAUCUUUACAAAAUUUGGCAUACGUUAUUGCCCCAGGCAAUACAAUCUUCCAACAAAUCGUAUAGAUC